AGAUUUAUCGGCUUAAGAUGAGCCCGCGUUGGAUUAGCUAGUUGGUGGGGUAAAGGCCUACCAAGGCGACGAUCCAUAGCUGGUCUGAGAGGAUGAUCAGCCACACUGGGACUGAGACACGGCCCAGACUCCUACGGGAGGCAGCAGUGGGGAAUAUUGGACAAUGGGCGGAAGCCUGAUCCAGCCAUGCCGCGUGAGUGAAGAAGGCCUUAGGGUUGUAAAGCUCUUUCACCGGUGAAGAUAAUGACGGUAACCGGAGAAGAAGCCCCGGCUAACUUCGUGCCAGCAGCCGCGGUAAUACGAAGGGGGCUAGCGUUGUUCGGAUUUACUGGGCGUAAAGCGCGCGUAGGCGGAUAGAUAAGUCAGAGGUGAAAUCCCGGGGCUCAACCCCGGAAUUGCCUUUGAUACUGUUUAUCUUGAGUGCAGAAGAGGUAAGUGGAAUUCCGAGUGUAGAGGUGAAAUUCGUAGAUAUUCGGAGGAACACCAGUGGCGAAGGCGGCUUACUGGUCUGCAACUGACGCUGAGGCGCGAAAGCGUGGGUAGCAAACAGGAUUAGAUACCCUGGUAGUCCACGCCGUAAACGAUGGAAGCCAGCCGUUGGCAGAUUUAUCUGUCGGUGGCGCANCUNACGCAUUAAGCUUCCCGCCUGGGGAGUACGGUCGCAAGA
rnacentral:rRNA from 2 species